rnacentral:rRNA from 1 species
UACGUAGGGGGCUAGCGUUGUCCGGAAUCAUUGGGCGUAAAGAGCGCGUAGGCGGCCAGAUAAGUCCGGUGUGAAAGUCAAAGGCUCAACCUUUGAAUGCCGCUGGAAACUGUCUGGCUAGAGUCCGGGAGGGGCGAGUGGAAUUCCUGGUGUAGCGGUGAAAUGCGCAGAUAUCAGGAGGAACACCAAUGGCGAAGGCAGC